GCAGGGGUAGUGAUGUGUGCCUAUAGUCCUAAUUAGUUGGGAGGCUGAGACAAGAAGAUUGCUUGAGCCUGGGAGUUCUGGGCUGUAGUGUGCUAUGCCGUUCUGGUGUCUGAACUUAGUGGCAUCAAUAUAGUGACCUCCCAGAUUGCCUAAGCAGGGAUGAACUUGCCCAGGUAGGAAACAGAGCAGGUUAAAACUCUUGUGCUGAUCAAUAGUGGGAUCCUACCUGUGAACAGCCACUUGUAGUAUAGCCUGGGCAACACAGUGAGACCCCAUCUCU
rnacentral:SRP_RNA from 1 species